UUAGUUGUGAAAGUUUGCCUUUUAUUUACCUGCAGUACUUUGUUUAUCGUAGUACCUCUAUUUGGAUCUGUAGAUGAACAAGGCCGUUGUACAAGAGUUUCCACGGUUUUCCUGCUGAUGAUAGGUGUCGUAAUUGGAGUACUUAUUAUUCCAUUAUUGAUCUCGAAAGGAAAAUAUAGAACAAAACGAUUGACAUUAACUCCACUGCGACAGGAUGAAGAAAUUCAGAGCAAUGUAUAAAAAGGAAUAACAGAAAAAAAAUCACAGAUUGCAGUAACAUACACCAACAACUCUCCACUUCACCGGGGAAAGAUUUCUUAAAUACAAACAACAACAACGCAUUGUAUAUUGAUGUAUCGUUAUAUGAAAGACCUAAGUAGAGUUACUGAAUAAAUGCUUAUCGAAUGAUAUUAAUAAAUUGCAAAACGAGCGAGUUUAUUGAUUUUGAUUAUUUCAGAUCCGUUCACGUAACAUAUAGGCAUGUAGAUGUAUUUGUGAAAAAUGAAAAUACCUAUUUUGUACUUGUGU